AGUCGUAACAAGGUAACCGUAGGUGAACCUGCGGUUGGAUCAUUAUCUAUGAUUUUGGGUUUUUUUAACUAAAAGUUUUUAACAACUCUUAGUUUCAAUUUCCCUAAAAAGUCUCGCCUAAUUUUAUUAUUAGGCUGAGACAAACACCCCUAUGUGAACUUGUUUUAUUACUAUGGGUAGUUGGUAUUUUUUCUUGUAAUUCACUUGAAAAGAAAACACUACCCUCUAUAAACAUUUACCAUAGAAAUUUUGUAGCUACUUUAAAAUUUAUUUUGACUUUUGUUAAAUUAUUUCUUAAAGAAAACUACUAGAGAAUACCAGAGAAAAAACUAUUAAAAGUAAACAACUUUUGACAACGGAUCUCUUGGCUCUC
rnacentral:misc_RNA from 1 species